AGGUUAUUCGCCCAGCAGAGAGUCCUAUGUACUCCUUCGAUUUGUUGUUGAGCUACGGUCUUCACCACUAAUGUUGAAUGGACGAGACUAUCUUAUCUCUGAUUGGUUGGCAUAGACGUCAAGCUCCGGUCCCGCCACAGCGGACAGUGCUUGACUUUUCCUCUUGUUGUUGACUGCAACGCCAAAUUUGCUAGCACUCAAUUGAACAGUGAGCAGACAACCGAGAGGCCUCAGUUAAUGAAAUGAAUACUAUUAGAUCCACCUGGUACGUUCUACCUCAUAUCUAGUACCCAGGGCAGCAAGCCGCUUUCCCAACGUCAUACAACAUUUUUUGGGCAAAUACUAUACAGGAUCUAACCGGCAUGUCCACCGCACGACAAACAGGGUGGGCUGGGGCUCCCUCUGUAUCGCCGGCGGUGGCGCCUACUACUUUGCCAAAAAAUCCAUAAACGCCGACCGCGCCCACCGACACGAAGAAGCCCAACGACGUAAAGAGGAAGCCCUCCGAAGAGAAAAUUCCGUAAAAUCACCGUCCUCAAUCGCACCGUCGACGACAAUGCCACAAAAGUCCUCACCCUCAGCCGGCCGCGCGAACUUCUCUCCACAAGCGGAUGACACCGGCAAUCCAAGCCGGGAAGCUGGACAUGACCCUGCUGCGACGCGGCAUGAACCCGAGACGCUGGCGGAGAAGAUUGAUGAAAAAGGAAAAUACGAGGCAGCAGAGGCAUAUACAUCGAGGAAGGGGAAUCGGCUUUGAAUUUGUGGCUUUAAGCUGACUACAAGGCUUUUUUUUUUUUUUUUUGAGAAGCAUUUUGUCAUUUUAUUUUGUCAACUAGUGCUGCGUGUGCGAAUGGGAAGGAGGGCCAAAUAAGGAAAAGGAGGUAGUCAUAUACAACUGGAAACUUGACUAUCUGGAAACAUUUGGGGAAGGUAUGUGGUGUAUUUUUAUUUGAAUUAUAUUGUAGAAAAAGUUUGUAUGGUUAAAUUUGAUCAAACCGCACUCUGAAUCCUCAGCCCUCCUUGUACGGAUCUUAACGGAGGUGAAGAAAAUGUUAAUUUGUUUGAAAACCCAUUUCCAAAUCCAAACUUGAUCAUGUUUGUUCUUAUGCCCAAAGGUUCGUAGGUCGCGUCCAAAGUCCAUGAAAAAGAGAGCAGUCAUGCCUAUCCCAAUCCAUCCCAGUAUUCGAAACACCUGAGGUAUUUGUACUAUCUAUAUAUAAAAAAAAAAAGGAAAUAUAAAUAUAAAUCAAAUAAAACAAGAAAGUAGACGCAGCAAGAUAUUUACCCAAUAACGCCGCCCCACAAGCCCUCAUGCGCAAAAACAGAAGCUAUCCCAUAUCUCAAGUGUUCCCGAAUGACUCACUCCCAUCCUAGGUAAAAAGCAGGCCUUAGGUCAAGACAUAAAGCGUAAGCGGUCUCUGUAUAUUUUACAGAUAACGCCGUCGGUGAAACGUAUUUAUAGUUUUAAUCGCAUUUCCUAGCGGGCAUGGAAGCAGAGGGGUGGAUAUUUAUUCGUAUGUGGGCUUCCAUGCCUCUUUUCGCGCGAGCUCUGGAUCGCGGGCGGGAUGAAAGGGGCCACGACCAGAGAGGUGAUCCCCGACAUCGUCAGGAGCCUGUGAGUGCGAGUCUCAGGCUUUGGGGCCUGGGUGGAG
rnacentral:sRNA from 2 species